rnacentral:rRNA from 1 species
AACGAACGCUGGCGGCAGGCUUAACACAUGCAAGUCGAGCGCCCCGCAAGGGGAGCGGCAGACGGGUGAGUAACGCGUGGGAAUCUACCCAUCUCUACGGAAUAACUCAGGGAAACUUGUGCUAAUACCGUAUACGCCCUUAGGGGGAAAGAUUUAUCGGAGAUGGAUGAGCCCGCGUUGGAUUAGCUAGUUGGUGGGGUAAAGGCCUACCAAGGCGACGAUCCAUAGCUGGUCUGAGAGGAUGAUCAGCCACAUUGGGACUGAGACACGGCCCAAACUCCUACGGGAGGCAGCAGGGGGGAAUAUUGGACAAUGGGCGCAAGCCUGAUCCAGCCAUGCCGCGUGAGUGAUGAAGGCCUUAGGGUUGUAAAGCUCUUUCACCGGAGAAGAUAAUGACGGUAUCCGGAGAAGAAGCCCCGGCUAACUUCGUGCCAGCCGCCGCCUGUAA